rnacentral:rRNA from 1 species
CAUUAAAGAGUUCUAUAACUCCCAAACCCAUGUGAACAUACCUAACGUUGCCUCGGCAGGUCGCACCUACCUUGUAGCACCCUACCCUGUAGGGCCUACCCGGGAGGUGCGGGUAAGCCUGCCGGCGGCCCACCAAACUCUGUUUGAUAUUGAAUUCUGAACCUAUAACUAAAUAAGUUAAAACUUUCAACAACGGAUCUCUUGGUUCUGGCAUCGAUGAAGAACGCAGCGAAAUGCGAUAAGUAAUGUGAAUUGCAGAAUUCAGUGAAUCAUCGAAUCUUUGAACGCAUAUUGCGCCCAUUAGUAUUCUAGUGGGCAGGACCGUUCGAGCGUCAUUUCAACCCUUAAGCCUUCGUUGCUUAGUGUUGGGAGCCUACGGCAACGUAGCUCCUCAAAGUUAGUGGCGGAGUUGGUUCACACUCUAGACGUAGUAAUUUUUUAUCUCGCCUAUUAGUUGGACUAAUCCCCUGCCGUAAAACCCCCAAUUUAUCAAGGUUGACCUCGAAUCGGUUCAGACAAACUCGCUAAAUUGAAGCAUCUUAGUCAGCGAAGGAAAAGAAACCAACAGGGAUUGCCCUAGUAACGGCGAGUGA